rnacentral:lncRNA from 1 species
UUUGGGGAAACCUUGUUUCCCAGGAGUAAAGAAACAGUUACAAGCCUCCCACACAUUUGUGCCUAUAAAGCUGCUGCAACAAACAGACCAUGGCUCAGUGGAGUGUUUUACACAAUCUGAUUAUAUACAUGGUAAGCAUCAGAAGACCUUCAGCAUAAUAGGAUUGCUUAAAGGUGAAUAAUUGGAAAUUGAAUAGCUAAAUAGCCCUAUUUAAUUUAAAUAAUACAUUCUUUUCUCUCUAUUCCUUGCCUUCUUUAAAAACUUGGGCCCAAACUGACCUCCUGCAGAACACUUUCAUAUAAAAUAUUUAUUCAAUUCUGACACAAUUAUGUGAAUUUAAUCUCUAGUUUUAUAUGCAAGGACAAUGCCUCCAGAAAAACUAUCGACUACAUAGAUAAUUCAAUGGAAUUUAGAAUUCAAAAUGGUAUACAUUAU